UAGAGUUUGAUCAUGGCUCAGAUUGAACGCUGGCGGCAUGCCUUACACAUGCAAGUCGAACGGUAACAGGUUAAGCUGACGAGUGGCGAACGGGUGAGUAAUACAUCGGAACGUGCCCAGACGUGGGGGAUAGCUCGGCGAAAGCCGGAUUAAUACCGCAUAAGCUCUGAGGAGGAAAGCGGGGGACCGUAAGGCCUCGCGCGUUUGGAGCGGCCGAUGGCAGAUUAGGUAGUUGGUGGGGUAAAGGCUUACCAAGCCUACGAUCUGUAGCUGGUCUGAGAGGACGACCAGCCACACUGGGACUGAGACACGGCCCAGACUCCUACGGGAGGCAGCAGUGGGGAAUUUUGGACAAUGGGCGAAAGCCUGAUCCAGCAAUGCCGCGUGCAGGAUGAAGGCCUUCGGGUUGUAAACUGCUUUUGUACGGAACGAAAAGGCGCCUACUAAUACUGGGUGUUGAUGACGGUACCGUAAGAAUAAGCACCGGCUAACUACGUGCCAGCAGCCGCGGUAAUACGUAGGGUGCGAGCGUUAAUCGGAAUUACUGGGCGUAAAGCGUGCGCAGGCGGUGUUGUAAGACAGUUGU
rnacentral:rRNA from 1 species